AUGAUGCAUAUUAAUUCGCAUAGUUUGCAACCUGCCACAGGACUAGAGGAAAAGUUGCAAUAGGUUCAGCACAUGGCAUUUCAUAUGAAUUCUAAAAUUGCAUUUAUGAGUCUCAUAGACUUUACAAUAAUAUAUUAAUAUUAAAAGUAAAGGUCAUUCCACAUAACAGUUAAGCUGCCUGAGCUUCAACCUUUAUAUCAAUAACAGACUCAGGCUGAGGGCAUGAGGAGGAGGAAAACAAGUGGAAUGAUCUGAAUAAAUGUAAAAUGUUACUUAGAAAGAUUGCUGCCUUUUGCUGGGAUGUCCAUUUACACGUUUGUACUUCCAGUGGACAAUUAGGUUUCUGACAGGCCUGCCAUCAGAAUGAUUAAAUCAAUACCUUUCUGAUGGGAAUGUGAUUCCUUGGCAUGGGCCUUCAGGCCUCCAGGUAAGCCACUCUCACAUUAAUGACUGCCUUAUGACAUCAUAGCUGCACACAGUCCAAAGUUUCACAUCAUUGCAGGCAGCGUGGAACUUUGGAUAAUUGCUUUUGGCACAUGGAAUGAAUUAACCAAGGUGACUGGGAAGCUUUGACAGCAACACCCAUGGAAGAAAAGCAGCAGGAAUAAAAUCUCCUGGGCUGCAAUGACACUAACAUCAUGAAUGAAUUUAGGCUUACAAGUUGAAAUUGUUUUAUUGGAUAAACCAUGUGAUAAAUAGAUCUUUUCCCUCCACUCCUUGAUAUUUUUUAUUACUUCAAAUUUGAAUGUGAACAAGCCACAGCAUUACGCCACACUUCAGUGAACAUUCUUUUGCCAUCAAGUACCAUCAAGUUGAAGAUUUCCACUCUUUGAAAAAAAAUCAUAACUGAGAGGAAAUGUUCUUGUCAUAUGAAGUACACUGUAAAAUGUGGAAAGGAUUUUUGAUUUAUGCUGAUGUGAGCCCUCCAACUCUAGUGAGCUUCCAAGCGGUAUGGACUUAGGAAAAAAAAAAAAAAAAAAAAGGGGGGGGGGGGGGGGGGGGGGGGGGGGGGGGGGGGGGGGGGGGGGGGGGGGG
rnacentral:lncRNA from 1 species